rnacentral:rRNA from 1 species
GACGAACGCUGGCGGCGUGCUUAACACAUGCAAGUCGAACGGUGAAGCGCCUUCCUUUUUGGUGGGUGUGGAUGAGUGGCGAACGGGUGAGUAACACGUGAGUAACCUGCCCCCUUCUUCUGGAUAACCGCAUGAAAGUGUGGCUAAUACGGGAUAUUCUGGGUCUGUCGCAUGAUGGGUCUGGGAAAGAUAUUGUUUCGGUUGGGGAUGGGCUCGCGGCCUAUCAGCUUGUUGGUGGGGUGAUGGCCUACCAAGGCGGUGACGGGUAGCCGGCCUGAGAGGGUGGCCGGUCACAGUGGGACUGAGACACGGCCCAGACUCCUACGGGAGGCAGCAGGGGGGAAUAUUGCACAAUGGGCGCAAGCCUGAUGCAGCGACGCCGCGUGAGGGAUGGAGGCCUGCGGGUUGUGAACCUCUUUCGCCAGUGAAGCAGGCCUGCCUGGUUUGUGGGUGGGUUGACGGUAGCUGGAGAAGAAGCGCCGGCUAACUACGUG